rnacentral:rRNA from 1 species
CUACGGGGUGCAGCAGUGAGGAAUAUUGCACAAUGGGGGGAACCCUGAUGCAGCAACGCCGCGUGGAGGAUGACGCAUUUCGGUGUGUAAACUCCUUUUAUAUGUCAAGAAAACGACGGUAGCAUAUGAAUAAGCACCGGCUAACUCCGUGCCAGCAGCCGCGGUAAUAUGGAGGGUGCAAGCGUUACUCGGAAUCACUGGGCGUAAAGGACGCGUAGGCGGGUUGGAAAGUCAGGUGUGAAAUCCUACAGCUUAACUGUAGAACUGCACUUGAAACUUCUAAUCUAGAGUAUGGGAGGGGGAGAUGGAAUUAGUGGUGUAGGGGUAAAAUCCGUAGAUAUCACUAGGAAUACCUAAAGCGAAGGCGAUCUCCUGGAACAUUACUGACGCUAAGGCGUGAAAGCGUGGGGAGCAAACAGGAUUAGAUACCCGGGUAGUC